rnacentral:misc_RNA from 1 species
GAUGAAGAACGUAGCGAAAUGCGAUACGUAAUGUGAAUUGCAGAAUUCAGUGAAUCAUCGAGUCUUUGAACGCACAUUGCGCCCCCUGGUAUUCCGGGGGGCAUGCCUGUCCGAGCGUCAUUGCUGCCCUCAAGCACGGCUUGUGUGUUGGGCCUCCGUCCUCCUCCCGGGGGACGGGCCCGAAAGGCAGCGGCGGCACCGCGUCCGGUCCUCGAGCGUAUGGGGCUUCGUCACCCGCUCUUGUAGGCCCGGCCGGCGCUUGCCGACACAUCAAUCUUUUUUCCAGGUUGACCUCGGAUCAGGUAGGGAUACCCGCUGAACUUAAGCAUAUCAAUAAGCGGAGGAA